rnacentral:rRNA from 2 species
ACUUAAAUUGAAGAGUUUGAUCAUGGCUCAGAUUGAACGCUGGCGGCAGGCCUAACACAUGCAAGUCGAGCGGUAGCACAGAGAGCUUGCUCUCGGGUGACGAGCGGCGGACGGGUGAGUAAUGUCUGGGAAACUGCCUGAUGGAGGGGGAUAACUACUGGAAACGGUAGCUAAUACCGCAUAACGUCGCAAGACCAAAGUGGGGGACCUUCGGGCCUCAUGCCAUCAGAUGUGCCCAGAUGGGAUUAGCUAGUAGGUGGGGUAACGGCUCACCUAGGCGACGAUCCCUAGCUGGUCUGAGAGGAUGACCAGCCACACUGGAACUGAGACACGGUCCAGACUCCUACGGGAGGCAGCAGUGGGGAAUAUUGCACAAUGGGCGCAAGCCUGAUGCAGCCAUGCCGCGUGUGUGAAGAAGGCCUUCGGGUUGUAAAGCACUUUCAGCGGGGAGGAAGGC